UACUCGCGGUCCAAGUCGCAGCCAUCAUUAUUGGGUCUAAAACAUCCGUAGCUUGCUUAAUAAGUUUCUUGUGAAAUUCCAUGUCUCAAAUAUGGAGCGGGCAAGAAGUACUGUUAAGCUAGAGACUGGAAGACGUAAGAAGUACGUUUGGAGUAGCGGUAAAAUGUGUUAAUCCCAGACGGACUAACAACAGCGAAGGCAUCUUACGAGGACAGUUCUGACAGUAAGGGAUGAAGGCUAGGGGCGCAAAAGGGAUUAGAUACCCGGGUAGGUCCCUGA
rnacentral:rRNA from 1 species